CUAAAGAAGAGGAAAGGAAGGGAUACUGUACAAAAAAAGGGAAAGAUAGUGACAAGGAAAUUGAAAGGCAGAGCUAUAAAUCAGAUGUCGUUAUAGCUAUAGAGAACCGAGAUACAAUAGAAACCUUUGGCAAUGUCAACGAAAUCUAAUGAAGCACAGAAAGCAGACAUGAUGCAAUGGUGCAAUGAUAUCAAAAAGAGCUGCACCUUUGGUUUUGUGGUCCUCCUUUUUUUAAUAGUUGGCACAGUUCUCUCCU